UUCGCCUACGGGACGCAGCAGUGAGGAAUAUUGGUCAAUGGCCGGAAGGCUGAACCAGCCAAGUCGCGUGAGGGACGACUGCCCUAUGGGUUGUAAACCUCUUUUAUAAGGGAAGAAUAAAUGCUACGUGUAGCAUGAUGCCUGUACCUUAUGAAUAAGCAUCGGCUAACUCCGUGCCAGCAGCCGCGGUAAUACGGAGGAUGCGAGCGUUAUCCGGAUUCAUUGGGUUUAAAGGGUGCGUAGGCGGCUUUUUAAGUCAGCGGUAAAAUGUCCGGGCUCAACCCGGGCCGGCCGUUGAAACUGGG
rnacentral:rRNA from 1 species